rnacentral:rRNA from 1 species
GACGGAGGAUGCAAGUGUUAUCCGGAAUCACUGGGCGUAAAGCGUCUGUAGGUGGUUCGAAAAGUCCACUGUUAAAAAAUUGAGGCUUAACUUCAAAGAUGCCGUGGAAACUUUCAAACUAGAGUAUGGUAGGGGUAGAGGGAAUUUCCAGUGGAGCGGUGAAAUGCGUAGAUAUUGGAAAGACCACCGAUGGCGAAGGCACUCUACUGGGCCAUUACCGACACUGAGAGACGAAAGCUAGGGGAGCAAAUGGG